AUGCUCCAUCUCCAUCAAUGGGUCCCCACACAUCGAAAUCCGACCCGAUUUUAACCCGAAACCCUUUCUAUUUCUGAUAUUCAUAUUUUCAGAUCGGAUUUGAGGAGAGAGAGGGAGGAGGAGAGGAGAGAGAGAGAGAGAGAGAUGGCGAGAGGGAAGAUCCAGAUCAGGAGGAUAGAGAACUCGACCAACAGGCAGGUGACCUACUCCAAGCGAAGGAACGGACUCUUCAAGAAGGCCAACGAGCUCACCGUCCUCUGCGACGCCGAGGUCUCUCUCAUCAUGGUUUCGAGCUCCGGCAAAGUCCACGAGUACAUUAGCCCCUCCACCACAACAAAGCAAUUGCUGGAUCAGUACCGGAAGACUGUUGGAAUCGAUAUUUGGAGCUCGCACUACGAGGCAAUGCAAGAGCAUUUGAAGAAGCUGAAGGAGGUGAACAUGAAUCUUCGGAGGCAGAUCAGGCAGAGAGUUGGGGAUUGUCUGAACGAUCUGAGUUUCGAUGAACUGCGUGGUCUCCAGGAAGAGGUGGAAGCUGCCGUCGCCGUCAUUCGGCAGCGCAAGGUUCGGAUGAUCUCUAAUAAGAUUGAUACAACCAAGAAAAAGGUAAAGAGCCAAGCAGAUAUAAACAUGAGUCUCCACGAACUCUAUGCGAGGGACGGUAUACACUAUGAAUAAGUAGAGAAUGAAGGGGAUUAUGAUUCAGUGUGUGGCUGCUCACCAAAUGGAGGAGGACCUCCCAUAUUUGCGAAGUAGUAACCAAUCGCAUCCCACUAAUCUUCACUGCAUUGCUGCUGGAGCUGCAUCAGAUUCCACCACCACUGCAGUAAUUAGUUAAACAUUUGGUUAAUUACCCAUGUAUUGUUAAGAUUUGAACUUGUUUGUUGUAGACUUGUAGUCGCAGUAUUACCUAUCACGAUGUCGUUUUGUUAUGGUGGGCUGCAUAUGUGGUUGGGCCUAAAUGUUUGGGCCAUGUGACCUAACACAGAGGAUUUCAAUUCCCUUUUUUUCUGUUUCUUUUUUUUUUAGAGGGUUUCAAGAAUAACAUCCAAGUUAACUAUCAUAGGGUGAUUCAGUAAUUAUAGAUUAAUUUUAGAUCCGUAUUCCAUA